GAUGAACGCUAGCGAUAGGCCUAACACAUGCAAGUCGAGGGGCAUCACAUGAAGUAGCAAUACGGAUGGUGGCGACCGGCGCACGGGUGAGUAACACGUAUGCAACCUGCCUUCAACAAGGGGAUAACCCGUUGAAAGACGGACUAAUACCCUAUAACACAGGGGUCCCGCAUGGGAAUAUUUGUUAAAGGACAACCGGUUGAAGAUGGGCAUGCGUUCCAUUAGCUAGUUGGCGGGGUAACGGCCCACCAAGGCAACGAUGGAUAGGGGAACUGAGAGGUUUAUCCCCCACACUGGUACUGAGACACGGACCAGACUCCUACGGGAGGCAGCAGUGAGGAAUAUUGGUCAAUGGACGCAAGUCUGAACCAGCCACGUCGCGUGAAGGAAGACGGCCCUACGGGUUGUAAACUUCUUUUAUACGGGAAUAAAGUGCCCCACGCGUGGGGUUUUGCAUGUACCGUAUGAAUAAGGAUCGGCUAACUCCGUGCCAGCAGCCGCGUAAGUCACACUACA
rnacentral:rRNA from 1 species